GACGAACGCUGGCGGCGCGCCUAACACAUGCAAGUCGAACGAGCGAGAGAGAGCUUGCUUUCUCAAGCGAGUGGCGAACGGGUGAGUAACGCGUGAGGAACCUGCCUCAAAGAGGGGGACAACAGUUGGAAACGACUGCUAAUACCGCAUAAGCCCACGACCCGGCAUCGGGUAGAGGGAAAAGGAGCAAUCCGCUUUGAGAUGGCCUCGCAUCCGAUUAGCUAGUUGGUGAGGUAACGGCCCACCAAGGCGACGAUCGGUAGCCGGACUGAGAGGUUGAACGGCCACAUUGGGACUGAGACACGGCCCAGACUCCUACGGGAGGCAGCAGUGGGGAAUAUUGCACAAUGGGGCAAACCCUGAUGCAGCGACGCCGCGUGGAGGAAGAAGGUCUUCGGAUUGUAAACUCCUGUUGUUGAGGAAGAUAAUGACGGUACUCAACAAGGAAGUGACGGCUAACUACGUG
rnacentral:rRNA from 1 species